rnacentral:rRNA from 1 species
CACUGAUUUAUUUUAAAGGGCCGCGGUAUACUGACCGUGCGAAGGUAGCAUAAUCAUUAGUCUUUUAAUUGAAGGCUUGUAUGAAUGGUUGGACAAAAAGCAAACUGUCUCAGUUGUAAUAAUUGAAUUUAACUUUUGAGUGAAAAGGCUUAAAUAAGUUAGGGGGACGAUAAGACCCUAUAAAGCUUGACAAUAAGCCGUUUAUAUUAUAAAUUGUUAGUAUAACUUGAUUUUAAAUGGUGUUUGUUGCGUUGGGGCGACGAGAAUAUAAAAGAUAACUGUUCUUAUAAUAUUUAAUAACAGAAAUAGCUGGAAAAUUAAUGAUCCUUUCUUUAAGAUCAUAAGAUUAAGUUACUUUAGGGAUAACAGCGUAAUCUUCCUUGAGAGUUCAUAUCGACAGGAAGGGUUGCGACCUCGAUGUUGAAUUAAGGUAUCCUUAUAAUGCAGCAGUUAUAAAG